rnacentral:tRNA from 1 species
GUACUUGUGGCCGAAUGGAUAAGCUCCAUCCGACAAAUGGAUAUGUAGGUUCGAAUCCUACCGGGUAUA